ACAACUUUGAAUGGUGUUAAAGAAAUAUAAAAAAGAGAAUGAUGAAUCAUCAUCAUGAGAGCGAAAUUUCUUCUCUCUUUAAAAAUUUGGUCUGUCACAACUUCACCUAGGGCUCUUUUCCUCUGUGACAUACCCUCCCGGCACCGAUUCCCUCUCUAAAAUCUCUCCUUUUCCCAUUUCUAUCACUUUUCUCUCUAAACUGAGGGCGCCAAAACGAAAAUCGAUUCGUUGAUUCUUUCGACAAUGGUGGGCGAGGGGGAUGGCUGGAAUGGAGAGCAGCAAUGGUGGAUGGGUAGUAGCCGCAUUUCAAAGAGCAAAGCAAUCAAAAAAGGAUACUCUCUAGGGUCUAGAUGUUAUCUUUUCUCCCUUAGAGGGUGGGUACUGCUGUUGAUCCAAUGUCAUAUUAGGCAUCUGGCUAGGAUAGGGUUGUGGGAGAUCUGUAGAAUCAGGCCAUGUAGCCUAGAUUUGCCUUUGAUUAUCGAGUUGUGUCUUCGGUUUAGGUCGGAGACUGGCACAUUUCCAUUUUCUUGUGGAGAGUUAGGACCCACUUUAGAUGAUGCCACCCACAUCCUGGGUGUGAGGAGUGAGGGGGAUCCCUACGUAUGUACCCCCCUUGGUCCAGAGGAGACUUCGAUUGGGAUCUUCUUUGAAAUUUUUGAUGGGGACCACCCAGAUCCUAGCAUGGGAAGCAAGGAUGCUCUCCAGCUUAGUUGGCUUAAGAAGGAGUUUGGUCCUCAGAGGGACCAGCACCAGGCACAGGAAGGCUGUGUCAUUAGGGGUAGGGCAAUAGCGACUGAGUUGACCAAUCAUAGGACUCGCUAGAGGAGGGGGGAGGCAGUUGACCCCCCAGUAGCUGAUGAGGCCAUGGAUGAUGAGGGUGAUAGUGAGGCCAUGGUGACAGAGAAGGAGGAGAUGGAGAUGGUGGUUGGCGGUGUUGAGAGGGCCGCCGAGGAGGUAGAGAGACUCUUGGGGGUUGAGGAGGUUGGGAAAGCUAGCACCACCAUUGCUGAUGAUGAGGCGGCCAACCCCACCUACGUUGUAGAGAGUCGGUCGAGAGGCUGAGAGCCAAGGCACUGACAACAGAGUUUCAGUGGGUCUAGGAAGCAGAACAGAGGAGAUUCAGGGCUGAUGUGGCCAUUGAUGAUAAUGUGGAGUUGAUGGGAGAGGAGUAGACACGCUCGCUGAGAGCAUUUGUAGUGUACCUCUUCGGCUCCUUUCUAUUUGCAGACAUGUCCUGAGGGAGGACCAAACACAAGAUGAUUUGGACCAUUCGUGAUUUGGUGAGGCUGGAGAGGGUGGCAUGGGGACCUGCCAUCCUUGGCUUCUUACUACAUAGUCUGAGGCAGGUCGCCCUUGGACAAGUGCACGCCCUGGGUGGUUGCUUGCAGGUGUGGGCUUGGGAGCACAUUGCGACCCCUUGCCGCCCUAUUUCUUCAGUUUUUUGGGGUUUGGGAAAUAGACGAGACAUUUGCACUUGUUUUAUACCCUAUUCUUGGAUUCCCUAAAGGAGCAAGAGAUGAGUUAUCUUCCCUUUAGUCCCUUAAUUUCAUUGUUUUCGCUUAAGCUGGUAAAAUUUUGACUUUAACUCUUGUUCUAUUAUCAAAUUAUUUGGUCUCCAAUUGGAGGUAGUCCUCGGGCAAGUGUGUACGUAGAGAGUGCGUACGCUUUCUUGGCAAGGAUCCACAUGAUUUGUUUAGAUGUGGUCGAGAUGCAUCGAUCACAGAGGGUGAUGCGACAGCUAGAGUGGCCACAGCCCCAUUUACAUCUUUACUCCAUUUUGGGAGCCUCCUACAUCAUGAGUGGGACUUCAAAGGCAUAUGAUGAGGAUAUCAGGCAUGGGUCUGUGAGUGGAGGACCAGGGAGUAGAGGAGAGCAAAGAUCAAUCACUUAGAGAUGCCCCUAUCUGGUUAUGAGCACAUUUAUUGGGCGCUCUGGAGGGAUAUUGUCUUCCUAUAGAGCUGGGGUCAAGAGAUCGAACACCGACUGAGCAAUGCCUGUGCUGAGUGCGAGAGGGAAGGUCCAUUGAUAAGGAGGUUCAGCUGAAGGAGCUGAGCAGGAGGAGGCAAGCGCGCACACACACACACAGAUGACGCUCGAUUCCUGAUCGCUCGCUUGCAGAUGGACAUUGAGUGCCUCGAUUCCAGAUCGCUCGCUUGCUGAUGGACAUCGAGUGCCUCGACCCCAGAUCGUUCGCUUGCAUAUGGACAUCGAGCUCCUCAGAGGCGGGUCUGUCUCAGUUGCUCUUGCUAUUGUCCCAAAGGAGUAUGUCAAUUAACUUAAGGUGGAGAUUCGGCGGCUGAGGGUGGAUAUUGACUGCAUUCACCAAGAAAGGAAUGAGCUGAGGGUGAACGGGUGCUUUUCUUUUAUCUUGUAGAAUGAGCUAAGGGUGAACGGGUGCAGGACGAUACAAUCAUUCUCAUGCGGUCCUAGCAUGCCAUUACCACCUUGGGCACUAUGCCGAUUGCAAGAAGAGGAGACCCCAAGGAUGUGGAGCGUGUCUUGGAGUUCACCUAGCCUCCUGCUCCUGUUCCUAUUGGGAUUAAGAGUGUUGUGACCUCGAGGCCGCCCUAUCAGAGAUGGAGGAGGGUGGGAACAGUUUAACCCCGGUUGAGGACUCCUAGAUCGAGGGAGGGGUGAUUUUGUUUCUUGCACACUCCAGUUUUGUUGUACCUUUUUACUGUCUUUUUCUUCUUUUGUUCGCUUGUAUCACUGUACUGUGGCACUCAAGUGUUGUAUGGAUCUUCCUUACAUCUAUAUGAUGAUUGUUUUUGUUCCAUUCGC